GAUGAACGCUAGCGGGAGGCUUAACACAUGCAAGUCGAGGGGCAGCACGAUGUAGCAAUACGUUGGUGGCGACCGGCGCACGGGUGAGUAACACGUAUGCAACCUACCCUGUACAGGGGGAUAGCCCGCCGAAAGGCGGAUUAAUACCCCAUGGACCCUUAGCCCCGCAUGGGGCGGAGGGUAAAGCUCCGGCGGGAAUGGAUGGGCAUGCGUGCCAUUAGCUGGUUGGUGGGGUAACGGCCCACCAAGGCUACGAUGGCUAGGGGGUCUGGGAGGAUGAUCCCCCAACUGGUACUGAG
rnacentral:rRNA from 1 species